rnacentral:lncRNA from 1 species
AUCUUAACCAUGUACCUAAUAGAACUUAUAUCCAAUAUAUAAGAAAAUUUAAUAGUUAAAAUUCUAUUUUUUAAAAGAUUAAUUUCAUAUUCUAAAUAUAUACUUUAAACAAUCAUCCCCCAAACUCUAAACCCUGAAUGAUAAAUCUAAUCUCCAAAUUUAUUUAUUUUCAUUUUAACUCAAAAUCUUAAAUGUAAACUUUAAAUCUAUUUCCAAACUUUAAUUUCUGAUUUUCAACUUAAACCCUAAACUCUAUUUCAUAUACCUCAAUAUCAAUAACAAAGUUUAAAAUUUAAAAUUUAAAACUAUAAAUUUAAUUCUAAAGAUUAAUUUUUAACAUUUAAAUUGUGAAAUCUAA